rnacentral:rRNA from 1 species
UACGAAGGGGGCUAGCGUUGCUCGGAAUUACUGGGCGUAAAGCGCACGUAGGCGGCUUUCUAAGUCGGGGGUGAAAUCCUGGAGCUCAACUCCAGAACUGCCUUCGAUACUGGAGAGCUUGAGUCCGGGAGAGGUGAGUGGAACUGCGAGUGUAAGAGGUGAAAUUCGUAGAUAUUCGCAAGAACACCAGUGGCGAAGGCGGCUCACUGGCCCGGUACUGACGCUGAGGUGCGAAAGCGUGGGGAGCAAACAGG